rnacentral:lncRNA from 1 species
GGGAUAUUUCUUCUACCUUCUUAAUAGACAUUAGAUGUUUGUGAAUCUUAAAGCAUUCAUUUUGAAAAAAAAGUUUCUUGAUGAAGGAAUUGAUGUCGUUAAGAACAAACUUGGUGAAGCUUGAAAGGUAGAGGAAUGUCUCUGAUAUAUAAACCAACAGAACCAGACUUGAUUAGAUCAAAUCUAAAGUCCAAUGUAAAGACAUCCUUGAGGA